CUACUGGCGAUUGCGUGAUGACAAAUCAGAACAAUAUUCCAGCACAUUUUUAAAAACCUAUAAGGUAUGGAGAGAAUAACUGGCCAUAAAACAACACAAUAUCUACAUAUGGGGAUAAAUUUUCAUCUAAAGCAAACAAACAAGGUUUAAUAUACAGCCUGCCCUUUUCAUAAUGAAUACAUGUACAUUGAAGAACAGACACCAAGACCCCAAGCUUGCUUCAAAAUAGGCUCCACCCGUACCUUAACAUGAGAAGUUUUCACAUCAUUUGACCAUGAUCCAAGGGACUGAUUAGUGAUUAAGUGCUCAAGAAGCAAUGCAGUCACUGUCAGGGAAAUGAAGCCAUAAUUUUGUAAAAAUUUGAAAAAUAAAUGCAGGAUUAAUGCUUACAA